GAUGAACGCUGGCGGCGUGCCUAAUACAUGCAAGUCGAGCGAACAGACGAGGAGCUUGCUCCUCUGACGUUAGCGGCGGACGGGUGAGUAACACGUGGAUAACCUACCUAUAAGACUGGGAUAACUUCGGGAAACCGGAGCUAAUACCGGAUAAUAUAUUGAACCGCAUGGUUCAAUAGUGAAAGACGGUUUUGCUGUCACUUAUAGAUGGAUCCGCGCCGCAUUAGCUAGUUGGUAAGGUAACGGCUUACCAAGGCAACGAUGCGUAGCCGACCUGAGAGGGUGAUCGGCCACCCUGGAACUGAGACACGGCCCAGACUCCUACGGGAGGCAGCAGUAGGGAAUCUGCCGCAAUGGGCGAAAGCUUGACGGAGCAACGCCGCGUGAGUGAUGAAGGUCUUCGGAUCGUAAAACUCUGUUAUUAGGGAAGAACAAAUGUGUAAGUAACUAUGCACGUCUUGACGGUACCUAAUCAGAAAGCCACGGCUAACUACGUG
rnacentral:rRNA from 1 species